CCAGUCGUCGGUCGGUCGGUCGGUAGCAGAAGGGAGAAAAGCCUAAAGGGUGGGAGUGAUCGAUUGCUGAUUGAGGCCUUGUCGAUGAGGGUUUCAAGACUGGAGGAAAAGCUUGCUUCCCACCGCAGUCGUCGCUCGGUAGCAGAAGAGAGAAAAGCCUAAAUGAUGCGAGUAAUCGAUUGCCGAUUGAGGCCUUGUCGAUGGGGGUUUCAAGACCGGAGGAAAAGCUUGCUACCCACCCCAGUCGUCGGU